rnacentral:misc_RNA from 1 species
AUAAAUUUGAAAUUUGCUAUUCAAGAAAACACGAGCAGCAAUUCCAUAAAACAAUUCUCAAUUCCCUCAACAGAAACAUUAGAAUUUUGUAUCAAUUGCUUAGAAAAUCCACGAUAUAAAUCACCAAAGCUUUCCAAGGCUAUCAAACAUGAACGAUUUACCCAGAUCACAAAGAUCAGUCAAGGACGAAAAAUGGAGGUUGCUGACCCAACACCAAAAACUGUAGUAUUUUUCAUAAACAUCAUAUAAAACUGCAAAAGGAGGCUUUGGAAAAGGUCUCCAAAAAAAAAAAAAAAUCUCAAAGAUUUCUUUUCACAAUUCAUGCCAUAAUCAUAGACGAAACUACAAAGUCUAAAUUCACAAGAAUUGCAAAGUUCUAAAAUUUGAGAAACAACUCUUUUAUUUUGUGUAUGUGUAUGUGUGUGUGUGUGUGCUACCGUGUAAAAUGUAACUUACAACCAAAUACCAAAACAUAAAGGGUUAGCAUUUAAAGGAGAAAAAAAGAAAGAGGAAUUCUGAUAAAGGAAACUCGGACUUCAAGCAUGCAAGCUUGCUAGAGAUAAGUUUUUGUUUCCUUGACCAGAAAAGUAAGGCCAAAAUGAAUGAGAAACAGUCUGAUAAGUGACAACAAAAAUUUUCAGCUGUUUCUCAAUUUAUUUUACAUUUGAAUGACUCGAGCCUCAAUUGACCAAAAUCCUUUAUUCUCCUUUAAAAGAAUAAGCACCACAACUUUUACAAACUAUCAAUGAUUCAUUUGUGAAAUUGUUUGUAUCAGAUUAAGCAAAUAUAGGUUAAGCAAAAAAAAGUGUCAGAUACUAACCGCAGAAUUAUCAGUAGCUAUGGGAUGUCAAAUAAUUGCAUGAGUUCAUAUUGAUUAACUUGUCGAACUAUUUUGAUCAGCACAAUUAAAAUAGAAGCAAAACUACACGACAAAAUCAGAAGCAAGUAGGUACCUGCCGUAAACGAGCCAGAUUGCU